GUUCCCAUUUGACUACCACAUUUUCUUCUAAUAAUAGAUUGUAAUGGCAAUGCUUAUAGGAUAAAUGAAAAUUGCCAAGAUCUGAAGAGGGAGGAUUUAUUUGUCUUCCUCCUAUAUGAAAUGGCUGGACAGAGAUAU